CCUGGUCCGGUUAGCGCGGUGCCAAGGAGGUGUCCUCCAACACUCCAAGCCACAAAAGAAGCUUUAAUCAGCUCUACUUGCUAACGGCUGCCAAGUAGCUGAAUGGACUGUUUGCUCCGCAUUUAUGUGUCGCUUUCAUAGCUACACAAUACAUAAAAGCUUGCCACUGUCCCACCGUCUAUUUUAGCUGUUGAAUUUCAGUCCCACUACUUUAUUAGCGCAAAAGAGAACCACCAUACUCUGUAUAUAUGAUACAGUAUACGAUGAUACUGUAUUUUUCAAUGUGCUUUGCUGUUUCAAAACAGCGACACUGACUUCGAUGAAACUACAGUCCAAGGAAAUAACUUUUUGUGAGCAUUCAUAAAUAAUUGUUAUUAAUUUGGAAAAUGUUGGUGCUUUUUCUUUGUGGGAGGAAACACAGGCCACAAUUUUAUUAGCAUCAUCUUCCAUGCUGCUACUACUACUGGUGAGAGGAUCGUGCUAGCAGCAAAUUAGCCUCAUGAGCUAGCAUAUGCUAACAUGAAUGAAGGCACAGAAGUGAUGGCAUUGAAAGGCAAAUGUCACAGCCACGGUUUGGUGCUAUUUUGGUUUUUUAACAGAAUGAAUGAGAUGAGCAAAAUAACACAGAUGAACCGAAACCGCCAUUUUUAGUCGUGACGAGGAAGAAGCGGAACACGACCAUCAACUUCCGUGCUACUACUACUGGCGCAUUGACACACUUACGAUGUCCGCUCUCCUUGUGAUGGCUGUAUCUUCCAGCACAAGACGCGUGCUCCAGUCCUCAGCAUCUUUGGCUAUCUUUCAGCUCUAAAGGAGGAAGUGCCAAAAGAGGGGGUGUCCUUGAGUGUGUAACGUCUAUCCCUCUUUAUCCUUAAAGGCCCCCUGCCCUGCAGGACAGAACACACACACACACAUCUUCACCAGCUCCCUAUAAUCUGUUAUUAUGUGCUCUGCAAUUGUUUCAGUGCCUGCUUCCUGCAAGCCAACCUGUCAAUAAUGUCUUAUACUUGGUUUUAUUUCAA